rnacentral:rRNA from 1 species
GAUGAACGCUGACAGAAUGCUUAACACAUGCAAGUCAACUUGAACUUCGGUUUGGGUGGCGGACGGGUGAGUAACGCGUAAAGAACUUGCCUCACAGUUAGGGACAACAUUUGGAAACGAAUGCUAAUACCUGAUAUUAUGAUUUUAGGGCAUCCUAGAAUUAUGAAAGCUAUAUGCGCUGUGAGAGAGCUUUGCGUCCCAUUAGCUAGUUGGAGAGGUAACGGCUCACCAAGGCGAUGAUGGGUAGCCGGCCUGAGAGGGUGAACGGCCACAAGGGGACUGAGACACGGCCCUUACUCCUACGGGAGGCAGCAGUGGGGAAUAGUGGACAAUGGACCAAGAGUCUGAUCCAGCAAUUCUGUGUGCACGAUGAAGUUUUUCGGAAUGUAAAGUGCUUUCAGUUGGGAAGAAAAAAAUGACGGUACCAACAGAAGAAGUGACGGCUAAAUACGUG